rnacentral:miRNA from 1 species
GUGGGUACGGCCCAGUGGGGG